rnacentral:rRNA from 1 species
AGCGUACACGGUGGAUGCCCUGGCAGUCAGAGGCGAUGAAGGACGUGCUAAUCUGCGAUAAGCGUCGGUAAGGUGAUAUGAACCGUUAUAACCGGCGAUUUCCGAAUGGGGAAACCCAGUGUGAUUCGUCACACUAUCAUUAACUGAAUCCAUAGGUUAAUGAGGCGAACCGGGGGAACUGAAACAUCUAAGUACCCCGAGGAAAAGAAAUCAACCGAGAUUCCCCCAGUAGCGGCGAGCGAACGGGGAGCAGCCCAGAGCCUGAAUCAGUGUGUGUGUUAGUGGAAGCGUCUGGAAAGGCGCGCGAUACAGGGUGACAGCCCCGUACACAAAAAUGCACAUGCUGUGAGCUCGAUGAGUAGGGCGGGACACGUGGUAUCCUGUCUGAAUAUGGGGGGACCAUCCUCCAAGGCUAAAUACUCCUGACUGACCGAUAGUGAACCAGUACCGUGAGGGAAAGGCGAAAAGAACCCCGGCGAGGGGAGUGAAAAAGAACCUGAAACCGUGUACGUACAAGCAGUGGGAGCACAGAGCAAUCUGUGUGACUGCGUACCUUUUGUAUAAUGGGUCAGCGACUUAUAUUCUGUAGCAAGGUUAACCGAAUAGGGGAGCCGAAGGGAAACCGAGUCUUAACUGGGCGUUAAGUUGCAGGGUAUAGACCCGAAACCCGGUGAUCUAGCCAUGGGCAGGUUGAAGGUUGGGUAACACUAACUGGAGGACCGAACCGACUAAUGUUGAAAAAUUAGCGGAUGACUUGUGGCUGGGGGUGAAAGGCCAAUCAAACCGGGAGAUAGCUGGUUCUCCCCGAAAGCUAUUUAGGUAGCGCCUCGUGAAUUCAUCUCCGGGGGUAGAGCACUGUUUCGGCAAGGGGGUCAUCCCGACUUACCAACCCGAUGCAAACUGCGAAUACCGGAGAAUGUUAUCACGGGAGACACACGGCGGGUGCUAACGUCCGUCGUGAAGAGGGAAACAACCCAGACCGCCAGCUAAGGUCCCAAAGUCAUGGUUAAGUGGGAAACGAUGUGGGAAGGCCCAGACAGCCAGGAUGUUGGCUUAGAAGCAGCCAUCAUUUAAAGAAAGCGUAAUAGCUCACUGGUCGAGUCGGCCUGCGCGGAAGAUGUAACGGGGCUAAACCAUGCACCGAAGCUGCGGCAGCGACACUGUGUGUUGUUGGGUAGGGGAGCGUUCUGUAAGCCUGCGAAGGUGUGCUGUGAGGCAUGCUGGAGGUAUCAGAAGUGCGAAUGCUGACAUAAGUAACGAUAAAGCGGGUGAAAAGCCCGCUCGCCGGAAGACCAAGGGUUCCUGUCCAACGUUAAUCGGGGCAGGGUGAGUCGACCCCUAAGGCGAGGCCGAAAGGCGUAGUCGAUGGGAAACAGGUUAAUAUUCCUGUACUUGGUGUUACUGCGAAGGGGGGACGGAGAAGGCUAUGUUGGCCGGGCGACGGUUGUCCCGGUUUAAGCGUGUAGGCUGGUUUUCCAGGCAAAUCCGGAAAAUCAAGGCUGAGGCGUGAUGACGAGGCACUACGGUGCUGAAGCAACAAAUGCCCUGCUUCCAGGAAAAGCCUCUAAGCAUCAGGUAACAUCAAAUCGUACCCCAAACCGACACAGGUGGUCAGGUAGAGAAUACCAAGGCGCUUGAGAGAACUCGGGUGAAGGAACUAGGCAAAAUGGUGCCGUAACUUCGGGAGAAGGCACGCUGAUAUGUAGGUGAAGUCCCUCGCGGAUGGAGCUGAAAUCAGUCGAAGAUACCAGCUGGCUGCAACUGUUUAUUAAAAACACAGCACUGUGCAAACACGAAAGUGGACGUAUACGGUGUGACGCCUGCCCGGUGCCGGAAGGUUAAUUGAUGGGGUUAGCGCAAGCGAAGCUCUUGAUCGAAGCCCCGGUAAACGGCGGCCGUAACUAUAACGGUCCUAAGGUAGCGAAAUUCCUUGUCGGGUAAGUUCCGACCUGCACGAAUGGCGUAAUGAUGGCCAGGCUGUCUCCACCCGAGACUCAGUGAAAUUGAACUCGCUGUGAAGAUGCAGUGUACCCGCGGCAAGACGGAAAGACCCCGUGAACCUUUACUAUAGCUUGACACUGAACAUUGAGCCUUGAUGUGUAGGAUAGGUGGGAGGCUUUGAAGUGUGGACGCCAGUCUGCAUGGAGCCGACCUUGAAAUACCACCCUUUAAUGUUUGAUGUUCUAACGUUGACCCGUAAUCCGGGUUGCGGACAGUGUCUGGUGGGUAGUUUGACUGGGGCGGUCUCCUCCUAAAGAGUAACGGAGGAGCACGAAGGUUGGCUAAUCCUGGUCGGACAUCAGGAGGUUAGUGCAAUGGCAUAAGCCAGCUUGACUGCGAGCGUGACGGCGCGAGCAGGUGCGAAAGCAGGUCAUAGUGAUCCGGUGGUUCUGAAUGGAAGGGCCAUCGCUCAACGGAUAAAAGGUACUCCGGGGAUAACAGGCUGAUACCGCCCAAGAGUUCAUAUCGACGGCGGUGUUUGGCACCUCGAUGUCGGCUCAUCACAUCCUGGGGCUGAAGUAGGUCCCAAGGGUAUGGCUGUUCGCCAUUUAAAGUGGUACGCGAGCUGGGUUUAGAACGUCGUGAGACAGUUCGGUCCCUAUCUGCCGUGGGCGCUGGAGAACUGAGGGGGGCUGCUCCUAGUACGAGAGGACCGGAGUGGACGCAUCACUGGUGUUCGGGUUGUCAUGCCAAUGGCACUGCCCGGUAGCUAAAUGCGGAAGAGAUAAGUGCUGAAAGCAUCUAAGCACGAAACUUGCCCCGAGAUGAGUUCUCCCUGACUCCUUGA